UCUUAUGGUUUAAUGUAGAUAGAGACCUAUAAGUGCAUGCACUUGGUCAAGACUAAUAAAUCAUCCGCAGUAGCCACAGUAAAGUCUGCUAUCAUCUUAAUGAGACAACGCCCUCUGUUCCUAUGAUCACGCCAACUCCCAUUGUUUCAGGUUGCCAGCUGCCGUAUCCAUAGCACAUGGCUAUCAGUGGUCAGUGUGGUUGCUCUUUUAAAUGUAUCAUCGCAAAGGGGGAUUAUUGAUGAGAGGAAACCCAAGAUUGCGCACUGAAAUGUCUUAAACACCAUAUUUUACAAUUAGUGAGUUCCCUACAGGUGCCUAAUGCUAAUCUUGUAUAUGAGAGAUUCAUAAAUUGUUGUUACUUCAAUGGUAUUACCUUUUAUUUGGGGUUAGAUUAGGAGAUGUACCCCCCCCCCCCCCCCCUUUUUUCAUUAAUUGUCCAUUUACAAUCAUAGAACUAAACAAAAUCCCCAUUAAGCUUCAGUUCCAUCUGUGCCAGAGAGAAAGAGAGAGGGGGAGAUCAAACAACAGAGAGACGAUCAGAGGAUUGGCCACCGGCACUGAGGCUUGCUGGUAAAUCUGUACACUAAAUACAGGCCCCUUGACCUGCUCCCAGUUCCGCUGCCAGCCUACACACUGAACACAGAUUAUACAACUGGUAUUCUGUAAAUCCUCCACACUGGUACAUCUAAACCUCGCCGUUACCAGCUCUUUCUUCCGACUCCACUCUGCUCGCCUCCUUUGCCCUUCUCUCUUCCUUGGCUUGUCGAGGGGCCGGGCUCAGACCAGUUCUUGGGCUCUCCUUCCCAAUCAGACUGCCUGACUUGUGUUCUAGGCCUCCCUCUCUCUGUCUGCACUCGCCACAAAGACAGUCUAACAAAGGCCUAAGGCGGAGAAGGAGAGAACGAGAGACAGUGAAGGGAAAGAGGUGGUAAAAAGAGUGGUGGUGGUGGUGUGGGGUUGGGAGGAGGGCACUCAGAGCAGGAUAGAAACAGCGAGAUAGAAAAGGAGAUGGAUGAAGGAAGUGGGAGAGUCAGAGCGUGAGAGAGGGGCAGCCUGAGACAGUAAAGAAGGCAAGCAACACUAAAUUAGAUGCUCUUGGAGAAGAGACAGUGAAUUAAUUCCAAAGAGAAUAUUGCAUUGUAUCUUCCUUUCCCUUCCUCUUUCAGCA
rnacentral:lncRNA from 1 species